UACAGAGGUCUCAAGCGUUGUUCGGAUUUAUUGGGCGUAGAGGGUGCGUAGGUGGUGCUGAAAGUUAGGUGUGAAAGUUCGAGGCUUAACCUCGAAAUUGCACCUAAUACUCCAGCGCUAGAGUCCCAUUGAGGAAUCUGGAAUUCACGGUGUAGCAGUGAAAUGCGUAGAUAUCGUGAAGAAGGCCUGUGGCGAAAGCAAGAUUCUGGGUGGCGACUGACACUGAGGCACGAAAGCCAGGGGAGCAAACGGG
rnacentral:rRNA from 1 species